UACGUAGGGGGCUAGCGUUGUCCGGAAUCAUUGGGCGUAAAGAGCGUGUAGGCGGCCCGGUAAGUCCGCUGUGAAAGUCCAGGGCUCAACCCUGGGAUGCCGGUGGAUACUGUCGGGCUCGAGUCCGGAAGAGGAGUGUGGAAUUCCUGGUGUAGCGGUGAAAUGCGCAGAUAUCGGGAGGAACACCAAUGGCGAAGGCAGCUCGCUGGGACGUGACUGACGCUGAGACGCGAAAGCGUGGGGAGCAAACAGG
rnacentral:rRNA from 1 species